rnacentral:rRNA from 1 species
UACGUAGGGGGCAAGCGUUGUCCGGAAUUAUUGGGCGUAAAGAGCGUGUAGGCGGUCCGGUAAGUCAGCUGUGAAAGUCAAGGGCUCAACCCUUGAAUGCCGGUUGAUACUGUCGGGCUAGAGUCCGGAAGAGGCGAGUGGAAUUCCCGGUGUAGCGGUGAAAUGCGCAGAUAUCGGGAGGAACACCCGUGGCGAAGGCGGUUCUCUGGGACGGUACUGACGCUGAGACGCGAAAGCGUGGGGAGCGAACAGG